ACACAACUCUGGAGAGUCCCUUAAGUGGGCGCCGAAGGUGCAAAGCUUGCUGGCAGUAAAAAGCUGUGUGGCGGGCUAAUCUCUCAGGCCAAAGGACGGAGCA
rnacentral:ncRNA from 1 species